CUUCCAGUGACUUGCCCCGGAUCACACUGUCAAAAGGAAGGAAACAGCUCUGGGCCCACCCGGAUCCAGCUGCGAAGUUCCGGCUCUCUCCACGCAGCCCUGCCGUCUGGUUGAAGGUCCGUGGACAGGAGCCACACGUAUUAUCGGGCUGCCUCACAUUGCGUGCAUUUUUUGUAUGUGUACGCACAUGUCAGCCAGCGCGUUGCUGUGCCUGCUGGUCUCCCACAUGGAAGUUUUGAGUCGACCCAGGAAAGGAAACAGGAAGAGUCUAAACGAGAAGCUUCAAGCACUGACAACUUCAUUUAACUCAUGAGGAAUUGUAUGUACAGCUGUCUGUCUGUAUGUCUGGGGCAGUAAUUCGUAAGAGAAGAAAAGAAUACUCAGUUGAGGCUGUCUGUCCAUGUGGGUUUUCAACACAACUGUGCAGUAUGAAAGUCUCAGAGAAUGUGAAGCUACAGAAGAAACAAACAUGGAGAGAAAGAUGAAGGAAAGAAAGGAGGAAUGAAUUUAUUUAUCUCUGGGAUUUGCUAAGCGCCUAAAAUGUUCCAGGCCCUUAUAUGCAAUG